rnacentral:rRNA from 1 species
UGCAAGUCGAGUGCGCGUCCGUAGCAAUACGGAUGGCGCACGGCGCACGGGUGCGUAACACGUGGGCAAUCUGCCCUUCGAUGGGGAAUAACUCCGGGAAACCGAAGCUAAUUCCGCAUAACAUUCCUUGGACUUCGGUUCGAGGACUCAAAGCUGUAAGGCGUCGAAGGAGGAGCCCGCGCCCGAUUAGCUAGUUGGUGAGGUAACGGCUCACCAAGGCAAUGAUCGGUAGCUGGUCUGAGAGGAUGGCCAGCCACACUGGAACUGAGACACGGUCCAGACUCCUACGGGAGGCAGCAGUGGGGAAUCUUGCACAAUGGGCGAAAGCCUGAUGCAGCGACGCCGCGUGGGGGAUGAAGCAUCUCGGUGUGUAAACCCCUUUCGACCCGGAAGAAUGCCUCGCAAGAGGACUGACGGUACGGGUAUAAGAAGCCCCGGCUAACUACGUGCCAGCAGCCGCGGUAAGACGUAGGGGGCCAGCGUUGUUCGGAAUUACUGGGUGUAAAGGGUUCGUAGGCGGUGUGGCAAGUCGGGAGUGAAAUCUCUGGGCUCAACCCAGAGGCUGCUUCCGAAACUGCCGUGCUUGAGUGUGGGAGAGGCGCGUGGAAUUGCAGGUGUAGCGGUGAAAUGCGUAGAUAUCUGCAGGAACACCCGUGGCGAAAGCGGCGCGCUGGACCACUACUGACGCUGAGGAACGAAAGCUAGGGGAGCAAACAGGAUUAGAUACCCUGGUAGUCCUAGCCCUAAACGAUCAGGACUUGGGGUGCCACCCGUUCGGGUGUCGUCCCGGAGCUAACGCGUUAAGUCCUGCACCUGGGGAGUACGGUCGCAAGACUGAAACUCAAAGGAAUUGACGGGGGCCCGCACAAGCGGUGG